UACACUGAGGAUGGUGCACAGGAGCUGGCAUAGAGUGGGGAUAGGAGUGGACUUGGCACUGGGCUUUGGGGGUCCCCAUGGGCCCAGUAGGGGACCCUCGAGUAGGGCACUGCCAGAGGUCCAGUGGGUGGACCUCCUGCCAGAAUCCCGGAGCAGAGAGCAGGAGACACGCCCCUUCAGUGCCGUUUGAUACUCUGUCUCUCUCGCCUCUCUUUCCUCUCUCCGUCCCUAGUCAGACGUCCCUCCUCAGAAAUCCAGGUGCUGCAGGAGAGAAACGGGUCCCUCCAGCUGCAACUCCACAGCUGGGUCAGCCAGACGGUCACUCACGCUUUCCACCUUCUCGGCCAGAGAGGUCACCUCUGACACCUGCAGCGUCACCCUGGGGAGGGAAGCUGACAGGAUGCCUGCCCGGGUCUACACUCCGAGGCUGCCUUUCCCCAUCGUGACGUGUGGCAGUGGGGCAGGCGCACCCACUCCCUUGGAUCCACAGCCCCACUGAGGCCUGUCUGCUGACUUUCAUUUGCACAGUGUUUCCAUGGGGAAGCAAGAGCUCAGAGCUUCUCAGACCACCAUUUUGCUAUUAGUAACGCCUCUCCCAGUCCUUGUUUUUAUUUUACCACUUUCAUUCACAUUUCUUGAACUUCUUCUAGUGUAGUGACCUUUUGAAACAAAGUACAAUAUUUACCAAUUUACUUAUUUGGCCUAUUGGAUUUUCAUCACACUACCUUUCAGAUGAUCUCAUCCAACAUGACCUAUGUCUCCACCAGCUUCCUGUCAUCCACAACCAAAUAAGCAAACCCUUCACUGUUCUUCAAGUCUCUAUUUAGAGCUUUAAAAGAAUAGCAUGGGGGCUUCCCUGGUGGCGCAGUGGUUAAGAAUCCGCUUGCCAGUGCAGGGGACAUGGGUUCGAGCCCUGGUCCAGGAAGAUCCCACAUGCUGAGAAGCAACUAAGCCCGUGCGCCACAACUACUGAGCCUGCACUCUAGAGCCCACAAGCCACAACUACUGAGCCCACUUGCCACAA